CAAAACAUCUUCUAGUGAAAUAUUUGAGAUGGGCUCAAAUUUCAACAUCUUCCGGUGAAAUAUUUGAGUUGGGCUCAAAUUCGAUUGUUUAGAGGUUCGGCUCUGUAUAUACUUUUCCCAUUUUUAAAACCCCGACCUGUUUUUAAGCAAAAAUAAAGGACUGGUCCCUGGCUCUCUCUCUCUCUUCUAAGUCCUACCUCUCUCUGCAAGUUAAGAAGGAGCUGCCCCCUUCAAUGGUGAAUCAUCGACGCUCAUACCCAAGAAAGAACCCUAGCCCCUUCAAUGGUGAUCCAACUCUCUUAAGAGUAAUCCCUAGCCCCUUCAAUGGUGUCUGUGAAUCUCAUAAUCGGAAGCAACAAAGUAUAGCCUCUUCAAUGGUUGUACAAUUAACCUCAACAGUUCAUGUCUAACCACAUGAGGUAAAGUGGCCGAGGAAUGGUUGUAUCGCUAUGGGGAGCACAAGUAACCUCCAAGAGAGUGUGACUAAUAUCCCAGUUUAUGUGUCUGAGGAGCAACAGUAAUUGUAUCGUCAAAGAGUGUAUCGUUAGGGGGAGCACAAAUAACUUUCAAGAGAGCGUAAGUAACAUCCAAGUCUAUGUGCUGUGUUUGAGGAGCAGCGGUGAUUGGUUCAAUUUUUCAUGGCAUCACAUUUUUUUAUCCACCCAAGGUGAAGUGGUUGUAUCACUCUGGGGAGCACAAGUAACCUCCAAAAGAACAUAAGUAACAUCCAUGUCUGAGGAGCAGUAGUGAUCGACUCAAUUUUUCAUGCCAUCACAUUUUUUUGAUAUGAUGCUAAUUUAUUAAUUCAUGUAAAACUAGCUUUCGUGUUUCAACAAAAUGGGAUGUAAUGUACUUCUCCAAUAUAUAAGGUGAUGUCUUUUGUAUUUAUGA